rnacentral:tRNA from 1 species
GGUUGUGUGGCUCAAUCGGCAGAGCAUCAUGCUAAAAACGUGAAGAUUGUGAGUUCGAGUCUCACCGUGACCA